rnacentral:rRNA from 1 species
GGCCUACCAUGGUGGUAACGGGUAACGGGGUGUUAGGGCACGACACCGGAGAGGGAGCCUGAGAAACGGCUACCACAUCCAAGGAUGGCAGCAGGCGCGCAAAUUACCCAAUCCCGACACGGGGAGGUAGUGACAAUAAAUAACAAUACGGGGUUCUUUCGGAUCUCGUAAUUGGAAUGAGUACAAUUUAAAUCUCUUAACGAGGAACAAUUGGAGGGCAAGUCUGGUGCCAGCAGCCGCGGUAAUUCCAGCUCCAAUAGCGUAUAUUAAAGUUGUUGCAGUUAAAAAGCUCGUAGUUGAAUUUCGGGGUUAGUAGGCUGGUCAUGCCUCUGGUAUGUACUGGUCUCACUGAUUCCUCCUUCCUGAUGAACCGUAAUGCCAUUAAUUUGGUGUUGCGGGGAAUUUGGACUGUUACUUUGAAAAAAUUAGAGUGUUUAAAGCAAGCUAACGCUUGAAUACAUUAGCAUGGAAUAGUGAAAUAGGACGUUCGAUCCUAUUUUGUUGGUUUCUAGGAUUGACGUAAUGAUUAAUAGGGAUAGUUGGGGGCAUUAGUAUUCAAUUGUCAGAGGUGAAAUUCUUGGAUUUAUUGAAGACUAACUACUGCGAAAGCAUUUGCCAAGGAUGUUUUCAUUAAUCAAGAACGAAAGUUAGGGGAUCGAAAACGAUCAGAUACCGUCGUAGUCUUAACCAUAAACUAUGCCGACUAGGGAUCGGAUGAUGUUAAUUUUUUAAUGACUCAUUCGGCGCCUUACGGGAAACCAAAGUGUUUGGGUUC